rnacentral:tRNA from 1 species
GGGGCAGUAGCUCAGAGGUUAGAGUAGUAAUCACUUUUCGCUGCCGGCAGAUCAAGUUCCUAUGUACGGGUCACAGGUUCGAUUCCUGUCUGCUCCA